AUGAGUUUAUUUCAUGUAAUGAUACAGCUCCCCUCCCCAGCAGGUGCAAUGAAUCAGACUGGUAAUGUGAACACAGUGGCAGCUGGCAAGAGGCAGGGCUGGGUCGCCCACCGGAGAAGGAGACUGAUGGAAGGAGGCUUAAACACGUGGCCUUCUGUAGAACCAACCAGCCUGAUGCAACUUUCAAUACCAGUCUGGUUUGGCUGCAAGAACAUUACAGAUACCCGGAGUUACACAACUGUGCUUCAUACAGUGAUGGCAAAGGUGUCAGCCUGCUCUGCUGUCCCUCUUGCCACCUCAGGAAAUAGGCUUUUGGCUCACAGAGGGGGUGAGAAAUUGUCCUGGACCACAGAGUCUAUUGAGGGCAUUAACAGCACCUUGAGCUAAAAGGUCGGGUGGAAAGCCAGCUCUCUGCCUGGCGUGUGAACCUCUCCGGGCACGCUGCGUAGCCACUGGGUCUCAGUGUUCUUAUUCGUAGGAUGGGGGCGAGUAUGCUCAUCUCAUGACCUCAUGAGGUUAUGGUGAUGAUUAAACACUGAACGUAACAAAAUGCCUGGUUUCAUCCGAAGCGCUCAGAAAGUGUUCACUCCCCUCCUUAAAGGUCCUUCACAUUCCUUUCUCCCCUUACACUGUAGCCAUGUCACGUACCUUCAGGCAAUUGUCCAUGAGGCCUCUGUGAGGACACAAAGCCAGUGUAGGCAUUACACACACGCAUGGAGGGUUUUAAGAAAAGACAACCUCCACUUCAGAAGGGCCUUCCCAGCUCCCCUGACGGACAAGGAACAUAUACACAAAAAGAAACAGAGGACAGGAUGGGAUUAGGGGGAAAAGGCUCCAGGGUAAGGCGUUAGCUCAGCUGGGUUUUUGCCCUAUGAGAGCUUAAUAUGUUCCAAGCAUUGGGAUUAUCUCAUUUAAGGCUUACAGUGACCUAGUAAAAGUGCUCUUGAUAUUAACCCCAUUUUACAGAUGAGCAAACCGAGACUUAAAGGAGUAAGUCCCUUCGCUGAAGUCAUAGUGUCCGUGUGGGAGCUGUCCUCUAUGACGGCAAGUCACUUAGCCUCUCUGGGCCUUAGUUUUCUUAUCUGGAUGGAAGGGGGAAUCACAUGACAUGUGGGGUCCCUUCUAGAUCUGACUUUCUAUAUUUAAUAUAAGAAUUACAUAAAAGAUUUUAAAUAAGUUAGCCCUAGGUGCUUUUAAGAGUGACACUGAUGGCGGAUAGCUGCUUCAAAAAGACUCUAAAAUAUUCCUUACGUGUCCCAGCUUCCAAUUUGCUACCCCAAUAAGCCAAACAAAGAAACCCUCCUCUGAAGCUUCCUUCCGGUUGAUUUAGAGUCCUAAAGCUAAUUUAGACCAAACUGGAAGGAGAAGCAGAGGUGUGGCUUGAAAAAAAUCUAUGGCUUCUCACACAACAGAUAUACAUGAUAAGAAGUCUGCACACACACACACACACACACCCCACCAGGGCUCGAAUCAUCUUCCACUGAAGCUCAGCACCAAUUUCUCCAGCCCAGUUGUCAUGGCAACACCAGCUGCCAAUGAGAUCAUGGAAGACAAGGUUAUAAUGGCAGUGGUAUCUUAAUAUUUUACCUGGCAAAACCACUUAGAUAAUAAGAUGAAUAACCAUAAAUCAUAAAUCCAUAGGAAGCCCAGGCACUGCUCUUUGUAUGUGUUUAAUGUGCACUUGGGGGUGGGGAAGAGAAAUGAGAGCGAAAGGAAAGGAACAGAAAGGAAGGGAGGGUGAGGCCGGGGGUGGGGAAGAUCUCUGAUGCUGAUCCCUGUGACUCUGCG
ensembl:lincRNA